UAUAGCUGCCUAGUUGCUGUAUCGUCUAGCGUAGCGUAGUAUAACGUCUAGUUACUGGGAUCGUCAUCAUGAGAUACGUGCGGACCCUAUUAUUCCUAAGCUGCAUUCUUAGCUGCUAUGCUGUCCAUGACAAGAAGGAAUUCCAUAAGAAGAUCAUGUCAUUCAACCCUGCGACCUUUACGCCAACAUGCAAGACGGUGUUCAAGAAAUGCGCUCUCAAGGCUUUUGCCCUUAUGAAGCUCACCUCGGUUAUCCAAGAACAAUGGGACGACUUCAUAAAAAUCGAGUGUGUCGCUCAUCUACUGGAUGCUGGAUACCCGGACUACUCGAAGGAAUGCGACAUGAACGCCACCUACGGAGAG